rnacentral:rRNA from 1 species
CCUACGGGUGGCAGCAGUGGGGAAUAUUGGACAAUGGGGGGAACCCUGAUCCAGCCAUGCCGCGUGUGUGAAGAAGGCCCUCGGGUUGUAAAGCACUUUCAGUGAGGAAGAACGCCUGGUGGUUAAUACCCAUCAGGAAAGACAUCACUCACAGAAGAAGCACCGGCUAACUCCGUGCCAGCAGCCGCGGUAAUACGGAGGGUGCGAGCGUUAAUCGGAAUUACUGGGCGUAAAGCGCGCGUAGGUGGCUUGAUAAGCCGGUUGUGAAAGCCCCGGGCUCAACCUGGGAACGGCAGCCGGAACUGUCAAGCUAGAGUGCAGGAGAGGAAGGUAGAAUUCCCGGUGUAGCGGUGAAACGCGUAGAGAUCGGGAGGAAUACCAGUGGCGAAGGCGGCCUUCUGGACUGACACUGACACUGAGGUGCGAAAGCGUGGGUAGCAAACAGGAUUAGAUACCCUGGUAGUC